rnacentral:tRNA from 1 species
ACGUGUAUUAGGGCCGAUAGAUCAGAGGUAGAUCGCUUCCUUGGCAUGGAAGAGGGCGGGGGUUCAAAUCCCCCU